AGUCGAGCGCCUCCCAGCCACGACGGAGGCGCGGCGCACAGCUCAGUAACACGUGGCUAACCUGCCCUCGGGACGGGAAUACCCCCGGGAAACUGGGGCUAAUCCUCGAUAGGUGAAGAACUCUGGAAUGAGUCUCCGCCCAAAAGACGCUUAAAUCAUGCUUUUAGGCGCCGCCCAAGGAUGGGGCCGCGACCGAUCAGGUAGUUGGUGAGGCAACGGCUCACCAAGCCUUUAACCGGUGCGGGCCGUGGGAGCGGGAGCCCGGAGAUGGGCACUGAGACAAGGGCCCAGGCCCUACGGGGCGCAGCAGUCGCGAAAACUUUGCAAUACACGAAAGUGUGACAGGGCUAUCCCGAGUGCCAUCCGCUGAGGAAGGCUUUUACCCAGUCUAGAAAGCUGGGAGAAUAAGGAGAGGGCAGGUCUGGUGUCAGCCGCCGCGGUAAUACCAGCUCUCCGAGUGGUGUGGAUGUUUAUUGGGCCUAAAGCAUCCGUAGCUGGCCAAGUUAGUCCCCUGUUAAAUCCACCGAAUUAAUCGUUGGUGUGCGGGGGAUACUGCUCGGCUAGGGGACGAGAGAGGCCGACGGUACUUUCGGGGUAGGGGUGAAAUCCUAUAAUCCCGAGAGGACCACCAGUGGCGAAGGCUGUCGGCUAGAACGCGCCCGACGGUGAGGGAUGAAAGCUGGGGGAGCGAACCGGAUUAGAUACCCGGGUAGUCCCAGCUGUAAACGAUGCAGGCUAGGUGUUUGGACGGCCACGUGCCGUUCUAGUGCCGCAGGGAAGCUGUUAAGUCUGCCGCCU
rnacentral:rRNA from 1 species